GAUGAACGCUGGCGGCGUGCCUAAUACAUGCAAGUCGAGCGAACGGACGAGAAGCUUGCUUCUCUGAUGUUAGCGGCGGACGGGUGAGUAACACGUGGAUAACCUACCUAUAAGACUGGGAUAACUUCGGGAAACCGGAGCUAAUACCGGAUAAUAUUUUGAACCGCAUGGUUCAAAAGUGAAAGACGGUCUUGCUGUCACUUAUAGAUGGAUCCGCGCUGCAUUAGCUAGUUGGUAAGGUAACGGCUUACCAAGGCAACGAUGCAUAGCCGACCUGAGAGGGUGAGGGGCCACAGGGGAGCUGAGCCCGGGCCGAAACCCCACGGGGGGGCGGCGGGAGGGAUUCUUCAGCAUGGGGGAAAGCCGUGCAGGGACAACGGCGCGUGAGUAAUAAAGGUCUCCGGAUCGUAAAAUUCGUUUUUUGGGAAAAAAAUUAUGUGAAAUAAACUUGGCACAUCUGAACGAACCAAAAUAGGAAGGCCCCGGCAAGCUACGUA
rnacentral:rRNA from 1 species